GACGAACGCUGGCGGCGUGCUUAACACAUGCAAGUCGAGCGGUAAGGCCCUUUCGGGGGUACACGAGCGGCGAACGGGUGAGUAACACGUGGGUGACCUGCCCUCAGCUCUGGGAUAAGCCUGGGAAACCGGGUCUAACACCGGAUAUGACUCCAUGACGCAUGUUGUGGGGUGGAAAGCCUUGUGCGGCUGAGGAUGGGCCCGCGGCCUAUCAGCUUGUUGGUGGGGUGAUGGCCUACCAAGGCGACGACGGGUAGCCGGCCUGAGAGGGCGACCGGCCACACUGGGACUGAGACACGGCCCAGACUCCUACGGGAGGCAGCAGUGGGGAAUCUUGCGCAAUGGGCGAAAGCCUGACGCAGCGACGCCGCGUGAGGGAUGACGGCCUGG
rnacentral:rRNA from 1 species